rnacentral:sRNA from 26 species
CCCUAGCCCUGAUUGUAGCGAUAUCCUUUUUCUUGCUCCUUUAGCAAGGAAAAGAUAUAGCGAAAAGCAGGAAAUAGC